AUUCCACAUUGGGCAGACCAGCUCACCAUCGUGAAGUAUGUGGAAAGCGCAUGGGACAUGGGCGUGCGAGUGCAGAAGGGCUUAAAUGGACAAGUGAGGAGGGAGGAGGUUGAGAGAUGCAUCAAGGAAGUGAUGGAUGGAGAGAGGAAGGAUGAGUACAAAAGGAAUGUUGCGAAGUGGAUGCAAAAGGCCAAGGAGGCAAUGCGCCCUGGAGGAAGCUCAGACAAUCAUAUUGCUGAAUUUGCUGCUAAGUAUUCAUCAAGUUAAAAGUAUAGUUAUGCAAUGCUUAUUUCAUGACAAGUAACUAGGCACUGGUUUGAGCCCUACAAAAUGUUUAGGGAGAGAAGUACAUGUUUGCUUUGUUCUGUAAUUGUUCAUGUUAAUCACAUCUUUUGUGCCAUACCAAUUGUUUCUCAUAAAAUCUUAUGGUACUUAAAAUUACUAUUAGUGACGAUGUUGAUGGGUGUUGCGCAGUUGAAAGCCCGGGGCUUUGCGCGGCCGCAGACGCACGCUCCAGCAUAGGCCCAAACACAAUUCAAUUAUUUGAAGAGAAAAAAAGCAAAGCAGGCCAGCUCUAUGCAACACAUCAUAGCCCAUUCUAUAAUUCUGAAAAUUGUAAAAAGAAAAAUUCUAUCCCUAAAAGUUUGAUAAUUUGAAUUUGGAAGUCCAUCUGAAUACUUUUGAAAGUUUGUCCAACAAAAUUGAUAGCUUCAUCCUUGAAACGUUGGAAGUUUUCACAAGAAAAUUGGAGUCCAUCUCGGAAUGCUAAAAGUUUGCCCAUGGAAAUUUGAAAUUUUGUCAAAAAAUAUGAAAGCUUCCAUCUUGAAAUUUUGUCAAAAAUAAUUAGAAGUCCAUCUUAGAUUUUUAUAAGUUUUGUCAAAGAAGUAGAAAGCAUGUCUCUAAAAAUUUAAAAGUUUGUCAACAUUAUGUUGAAAGCUCAUCCACAAUUACUCUUUGAAAAUCCACUCUUUAACAAAAAUUGAAAGUCCGUCUCAAUUUUUUUAAACAAAAAACUAAAAAUUAUCUCAAGAAUUUUGAUAGGAAAUUAUGGCUUUUCUCUGUUUUAGAAGAAUAAAAAAGGAUCAACGGGCAAACAAGGCGCCCUCAAUCGCUCGGGGGAGAUCGUUUAGUUGAAAUUUGACCGGUGUUGAGCUGCGCUAAGUAGUGCACUGACUUUUCUUUGGAAUCCACCAAUUUUCUACAUUGAUCGACGCGUUGCCUACUACGAUCAUUAUCAUGGGGUUUCCUAAUUGGGGGACGACCGCCAAUAUAGAUCCCAGUGGACAAAUUCCGACAGCCCAUUUUUUCGGUAGUCGGAUAAAUUUGUUCCACUUUUAAAAACUUUUUUUUUCUUUCCUGAUCUUUUAUUUUUCGAACUUUUAGUCUUUUUAAAUUUUACUUUUUAUUUGAAACUUUUAAGGUCUUAAUUUUUCAACUUUUAUUUUUGACUUUUCAUUUUUAUAUUUUUUUCAAAUUUUAUUUUAAAUUUUUUUUUGUGAAGGAGCCGAACAGCCCGGAUCCGGCUCGGGGAAGCUGCGGCACGAGGCUCUGGCGUGGCGUGCGGGGAGCAGGCGAGGUGGAGAGGGGGGUUGGGAAGGAGCAGCACGCAGGGGAGAGUGAGGAGGAUCCGCCGCGUCCGCCGCCUCGAGCCACGCAGACACACGAGACGUGAUGCAGGAUGCUACCCUACUGAACGAGAUUUCAGAAAUUAGCGGGACCAAGAAAAAAAAUUGAAAACAAAAUCUGUCGGAAAAACCGGUUAAUUUUUUUAAGCAACUGGUCAAGCAUCAAUAAAGCCUCAGAUAAACGUUGAAUCGUAGACAAUUUCGCUGUAUAUGCCGCCUUUACACAUAGCGUCGUCGAUGGAUCACGGCGCCGCGCCGACUGGCGGCGUGCCCCAUGACUGGUCCUCCUCAUCCUCUGUCGUGGCCCGCCCAUACCCGUGGCCACCGCCGCCGCCGAUCACCUCUAACAUCCUCACCACCCCCGCCGCAGUCGCAGCGCAAGCCAUGGCCACCUGCAGCCGCGCCACGAUUUCCUCCUCCCUGGCCCCGCUGCCCAUCCGCAUGAGCUCCGUGUUGAACACCUCCGCCGUCCUCUCCUCCCGCACAACCGACCGCACCCACCUCGGCAGAUCCACCAGCGCCUCUCCCCUGGUUGCCGCCGCCCGGGAGGCCGGGACCUGCCGGUAAGGAUCUCGAGGAGCACCAUGAGCGAGUACACUCUCACUUGAGCGUGGGCCGACGCAGGUCCACGAGCUCACGGAGGCGGCGGCGCGAAGAGGUGCUGGAGGCGGCCGUACGUAAUCGGAGAGCGCUGUGUCCGGUUGUCUAGGCAGACGCAAACCCGGCCUUGAUAAUUAUCCGCAUGACACAAAUGGACGCACAGGGACAAAAUGAGUCCGGAGUCGCCCCACGAAUCCACGCCGUGAGCUGCCACACAGAUUUGGCCGCAAGCGGAUAAUUUAAUUUUGCAGAAGUUAUACUAUUAAGCGCUUGCACAAGCGUCUAGCUGGCCUAACUUUAAACGAAGAAGUCCAUGUCCAUGGCUAGUAGAUCUUGGAUAUUUUUUUAGGGAGAAACAAUAGAUCAAUUGAUCUACUGAUGUACAAGUAGAUCUUGGAUUUACUGCUGGGAGCAUGCAGGAAGAGAAGGGAAUCUUCAUCUUGCGAGGCAGUCUGCUACAACGCCUAUCAUACAAACAUCUUCGGAGUAGCAAAUUUGUAGCAAAAUCCAGUUUCGCAACCACCAAUUGUGACCUCCCAGAAUCCAGAAGCUUUUGCGCCACUCCACUUGGAUCCUUUGACAAGAAACCCCGACCAAACUGAAUCAUGGACAGCACUGGCACCGGCUCGAGCGUGGCCCAUGAAGGCGGCGAGGGCGCCAACGUCUUCUUCCUCCCGGUCCCAGGGGCGCAGGGCCACACGAACCCGAUGCUCCAGUUUGGCCGCCGCCUGGCUUACCAGUACGGCUUCCGCCCCACGCUCGUCGUCAGCAGCUACACGCUGUCCACGACCCCGCCCCCCGACGCGCCCUUCCGCGUGGCCGCCAUCUCCGACGGCUUCGACGACGGCGGCAAGCCGUCCGGCCCGGACAUGACGGAGUACUUGCGCCGGCUGGAGGCGGUCGGGUCGGACACGCUGGCGCGGCUCCUCUCCGACGAGGCGCGCGCCGGGCGGCCCGUGAGGGUGCUCGUCUACGACCCGCACGUGUCCUGGGCGCGGCGUGUGGCGAGGGACGCCGGCGUGCCCGCUGCGGCUUUCUUCUCGCAGCCGUGCGCGGUGAACAUCUUCUACGGGGAAGUGCACGCGGGGCGGAUGGCGAUGCCCGUGACGGAGAGCGAUGCGUGCGCGCUGGUCGGGGGUGGAACGCUGGGCGUGGAGCUUCGGCCGGAGGAUUUGCCGCCGUUCGUGGCCUUGCCGGAGUGGCACCCGGUGUUCACCAAGACGUCGAUUCGGCAGUUCGACGGGCUGGAGGACGCCGACGACGUGCUCGUCAAUUCCUUCCGCGACCUCGAGCCAACGGUGAGUCAUAAUUAUUUCUGUGGACAAGAUCCAUCGGUAUCCAAACAUUCGGCUGAAAAUUUCAUAAGUCGCAGUCAAUUUUUCGACAAUGCAUGUCACACAAACACAAAAUCAAUACCUACAAUUUACAAAAACUGGAACUGCAAAUAGCGAAGGAAAAAAAGUGCAAUGGAAUUACACAACGUGCAAAUGGAUAUAGCAGUGGUGAAUUAAGCUACAGAGCGACGGAUCCUCGGCCUGCUGGUAUAUAAAUUUGUCUUUUCCUUUUCUGCCGAAAAGCAUAACUCCGCACGAAUCCUUGUGCAGAUCCGGCAGCUGACAAAUUGACCGCGCUCUGGCAAAACUUUUUUGAACUAACUAGACUUAAAUUUUUGAAUGUUUUGCUCCCAUAGUCUUCUAAGUGUACGUACCAUCGGGUUUCUGUGUUAGCCAGCGUUAGUUAGAUCAAACUCAGAUGGGUACAAAUGAACAAAUUUGCUCCGUCAUUUUCUAAAGGGAACUUGGUCAUAGAUAUUUAUGCUUUUAAUCGAGCAGGAGGUAGAAUACAUGGAGUCAACAUGGCGAGCUAAGACGAUAGGCCCAUCCUUGCCGUCCUUUUACCUAGACGAUGAUUGUUUGCUAUCCAACAAGUCUUAUGGUUUCGACCUCUUUAGCGGCGACGAUGGGGUUUGCAUGGAAUGGCUGGAGAAGCAAACCAUUUCAUCAGUUGUGUUUGCAUCUUAUGGGACUUUCUCAAAAUAUGACGAAUCCCAGCUAGAGGAGCUCGGAAAUGGACUAUACAGUUCCGGCAAGCGUUUCCUUUGGGUUGUGAGGUCGGAUGAGGCACACAAGUUAUCACAAGAACUCAAGACGAAAUGUGAGAAGAAAGGACUAAUUGUUCCUUGGUGCCCCCAACUUGAGGUUCUGGCACACAAGGCCACAGGUAUGACAUCAAAAUUACAUUACUUUUUCUUUUCUCAUACAUAAGAGAGUAUUGGGAAAUGACAAAACUUAUUAAGAUCUUAACUUUUUAAAUUCAAAAUAUUCAUGUAGGUUGUUUUUUAACGCAUUGUGGAUGGAACUCAACAUUGGAGGCAAUUUCUAAUGGUGUACCUUUGGUGGGAAUUCCACAUUGGGGAGACCAGCCCACAAUCGCGAAGUAUAUGGAAAGUGCAUGGGACAUGGGUGUGCGAGUGCAGACGGGCUUAAAUGGACAAGUGCGAAGGGAGGAGGUUGUGAGAUGCAUCAAACAAGUGAUGGAUGGUGAGAGGAAGGAUGAGUACAAAAGGAAUGCUAUGAAGUGGAUGCAAAAGGCCAAGGAGGCAAUGCACACGGGAGGAAGCUCAAACAAGCAUAUUGCCGAUUUCGCCACCAAGUAUUCGUCAAGUUAAAAGUGUAGGUAUGCAAUGUUUAUUUCAUGAUAAUUAACUACGCAAUGUUUUGAGCCCUACAAAAUGUUUAGGGAGGAGCACAUUAAUCACAUUUUUGUGGUAACCAUGCUUUGAUGUCAAUUGUUUAAUAUGAAAACUUAUUGUACAUGCUAAUAGAUGGUAACGGCCACAAGUUCAAAUCCUAAACCUGACAUGGGUGCUCGUAUUUACCUAGAUUUAUUUCAAGAUUUAUCCAACAAUAUAUUUUUAGUGAUAGGUGACGUAUCAUUCAACAAGGAGAGGUCAGCUUAGUCUCUCGGAGGUGCUAAUAUGAGUAUGUCUUUUGGAAGUGCUAAUAUGGGUAGGGUGUACAUGUGUGUUUGUUGUCGUCUGUAUUGUGUUUCUUAAAAAAAACUAAAAUCUCGUCUCUUGAAUUAAUUGUAGCUAGAGAAUUAUGACUUUACUCUAUUUUAGAAAAAUAAAAAGGAAAAAAAUUGAAAGCUAAGGAAACUGGGCUUUCACCCUCGCUCGCUUCACGCGGUACGAGUGACAAUGUUGUUGCUCCAAUCUAAUUACAGUCAUUUUGCUCAAGUCUGGAUACUAUUUCGUGUUAGAUAUCAUAGAGAAUACAUCUUCGAGGUAUUUUCAUUGUAAUUAUUAGUCAUUAGGGUUACUUUGUAAUUUUUUGUGCCUAGAUACGAAGAAUUGAAAAAAAAAAACUUGACAACAUAGUAAAGGAGAUACCGCGGCUUGAGGUGCGUGCUGAGCUGCGCUAAGUAGUGCGUUUAGUACGAUCAUUAUGCUUGACAUUUUUUUGGUAAAUAAUACAAGUAUGCUUAAUAGUAUGGAUUUAGUUGUAUAAAAUUACUAAAAUAUAAAAAAGGUCAAAAGGGAAUAUUUUCAAAGAGAUUUUAGAAAUUUGCAUGAGAAAAUAUUAUUUUUAGGAAGGAGGCAAUCGUUAACGGUGUACCACUUAUGGGAAUUCCACAUUGGGGAGGCCAACUCAUAAUUGCAAAGUAUGUGGAAAGCACAUGGGACAUGGGUGUGCGAGUGCAGAAGGCUUAAAUGGACAAGUGCGGAGGGAAGAGGUUGAGAGAUGCAUUAAGGAAGUGAUGGAUAGUGAGAGGAAGGAUGAGUACAAAAAGAAUGCUGCGAAGUGGAUGCAAAAGGCCAAGGAGGCAAUGCACAUGGGAGGAAGCUCAGACAAGCAUAUUGCUGAAUUUGCCGCGAAGUAUUCAUCGAGUUAAAAGUGUAGGCAUGCAAUGUUUAUUUCGUGAUAAGUAACUAGGCAGUGAUUUAUUUCAAGAUUUCUCCGACGGUAUUUUUUCAGUGCUAGGUAUGACGUUUCUAUCAACGAGGUGUCUGGUGUCUCUCGAAGGUACUUAUAUGGGUAGGUCCAGUCCUUUGUCCUAUGGCGCUUGGUGUGGAUAGUUGUCUUUGUGACUUUUAAUCUACCACCACCAACUUGCAUUUCGAAUAUGU
rnacentral:lncRNA from 1 species